rnacentral:rRNA from 1 species
GUUAUAUGGUCAAGCGAAUAAGCGCAUAUGGCGGAUGCCUUGGCGGUAGAAGGCGAUGAAGGACGUGGUAGCCUGCGAUAAGUGUCGGCGAGCUGGCAAACAAGCUUUGACCCGGCAAUUUCCGAAUGGGGAAACCCACCUCGCAAGAGGUACCGUGCACUGAAUUCAUAGGUGUACGGAGCGAACCCGGCGAAUUGAAACAUCUCAGUAGCCGGAGGAAAAGAAAUCAACCGAGAUUCCCCUAGUAGUGGCGAGCGAACGGGGACCAGCCCAGUCGUGGUAAUCGGGUGAGUGCUAGUGGAACAGUCUGGAAAGUCUGGCCAAAGAAGGUGAUAGCCCUGUAUACGAAAGCACGAGCCCGUGAGCGACGAAGAGUAGGACGAGACACGUGCAAUCUUGUCUGAACAUCGGGGGACCAUCCUCGAAGGCUAAAUACUCUCUACCGACCGAUAGUGAACCAGUACCGUGAGGGAAAGGCGAAAAGAACCCCGGUGAGGGGAGUGAAAUAGAACCUGAAACCGUAUGCGUACAAGCAGUCGGAGCCCCGCAAGGGGUGACGGCGUACCUUUUGUAUAAUGGGUCAGCGAGUUAUUUUCAGUGGCGAGGCUAACCGCGUAGGGGAGCCGUAGGGAAACCGAGUCUUAAACGGGCGUCACAGUCGCUGGGAAUAGACCCGAAGCCAGUCGAUCUAUCCAUGUCCAGGAUGAAGACCAGGUAACACUGGUUGGAGGUCCGAACGAACCACUGUUGCAAUAGUGCGUCGAUGAGGUGUGGAUAGGAGUGAAAGGCUAAUCAAGGCUGGCGAUAGCUGGUUCUCCCCGAAAGCUAUUUAGGUAGUGCCUCGAGUCAACACUCAGGGGGGUAGAGCACUGUUUGGAGAAGGGGGCCAUCUCGGCCUACCAACUCCAUGCAAACUCCGAAUACCCUGAAGUGAUACUCGGGAGACACACGGCGGGUGCUAACGUCCGUCGUGAAAAGGGAAAUAACCCAGACCAUCAGCUAAGGUCCCAAAGUUUCGGCUAAGUGGUAAACGAUGUGAGAAGGCAUAGACAGCCAGGAGGUUGGCUUAGAAGCAGCCAUCCUUUAAAGAAAGCGUAAUAGCUCACUGGUCUAGUCGGCUUGCGCGGAAGAUUUAACGGGGCUAAGCCGAGCACCGAAGCUUUGGGUGUGCGAGACCUUCGGGUCCUGCACGCGGUAGGGGAGCGUUCUCUAAGCCUGCGAAGGUGUGCUGCGAGCAUGCUGGAGGUAUGAGAA